GGGGCAGAGCGGCCGGGAGACAUCGAAUCUGAAGAAGACUCCUCGCCCAGCGUGGAGACCCAUGCAGGGCUCAGUCUCAUAACCCUGAGAUCAUGAACUGAGCCGAAAUCAAGAGUCAAACACUUAACCGAGCGAGCGCCCAGGCUCCCCUACAUCAUCAGUUACUUUCGAUUAGUCCGUGCCGAGGCUAUGCUUGUAAUACAGCUGCCCUGACUCAACCAGGAGGGCCACCUUCUUGACAAGAAAUUUAGUGACCAUCUUUGGGGUUCCUGUUGCUUUCUAAACCCGUCCAGCCAUCUCUCUGCAAAUUGCCACACUUCUGAGCAGCACUGACUUCCGCCAACAGCCACUAUCAAUGCUGUGGAGAGGUCUGGCACUUUUCAGCAAGAUGACAAAGACAGUGAAGUGACAGCUAAGAAGUUCCUCACGAUGUUCUCCCACUUCUUCAUUCCUAUUACAUCACCACGACAGGUCAAAUUUCACUGUAAGAAACAAAAGCUCUGUUUGGAUCUGAUUUGCGGGCCUUGUCCACGCCCCACUGACCAAUGGCGUAAGCCUGCUGCCUGUGCUGUUGAACACAACAGUCCUAAGCUUGCUUGAAAUCAGUCCAGCAUUUCCUUCCCAACCGGGCUGGAGAAAGGAAACAGCAGAACCAGGAAUUUCUGCAGACUGGACUUGAGGUAGGUGCAACCCCUAAAGUCAGAGCAAGUCCCUUCAGGCGAAGCAACACUUUUACUGUCACUUCAGGUUAAUGGAAGUUCGAUUUUUAAAUAAUGUUUCUUGGUUUAGUUCUCAAGAUGUUUGGAAGACGACACAAAGAAUCAAAUUCAACUUUUGGGUUUCAAAUCUGUUUUUUUCAUUACAGACUUUACUGCCUCUCCAUAACACUACUUCUCUUUAAAAUGCUUGGAAUUACUUUGUCAGUCAGUGGUAAUUCCCAGUAAUUGUCAACUCCAGUUAUUUUUAUUUGAUUUCACAUCCACCAAAUAAGUAUUUCCCAAAGCUCACUAUUUCCUUCAAGUCAUUCGUUGUUCAUUCAGCAAGUAUGUACUGAGUGUUUAUUCCGCUAGUUAUUGGGUUGGAACUAGGGGAUCCAACAGGGAACAUAAUAUAUAGUUCAUGUGUACUGUACUUAGUAUAUUUAGGGAAUGAAACUGAAUUAAACGCCAUCCAGUUUUUUGGUGCCUCUUUGAGAUGGUUAUAGACACUCCCAGAAUGUCAAAAUAGUAAUAAGGUCUGGACUAAAAAUUUCAUGUGACAAACAAGUGUUAAUUGUGAACACGUUACACAUUUGAAAUAUACACUUGAAUUUACCAGUAUGUUUACCAGCAUAUUUAAUUACCAAAUGUCCAAAGGUUUUAAUCUAUUUUUAUUCUGUAACGCUUUUCCUCCAUAUGAGCACACUGAAUACCAUGGUAACAUUCUAAGAGCUCAACUUUCUCACCUUUUAGAAAAAGAGGGAAAACAAAAUAAGUUUUAAUGAAGCAGUGUGAUUAGCUCAAGAUCCAUUUUUUAAAAAAUACAGAAGUACAAAGAAAACACUGCAGCAUAAGGACUAUUUACCCAAGUUGAGGCUAACCAAUUCUGAUGUUCAAGGAUUCCUAAGGCAUCUCCCCUCCUCUACAGAAUAUGGUAUCUGAAGAAAGCCUUUCCACCUAAUGAAAAUUUUAGCAUAUGAAACACAUGGACUACAAGUUCAAAAAAAUGUAAUUAAAAGAAUCACAUGUAAAAAAAAAAAAAAGAAUCAUAUGUACAUAUCCUUCUGGGCCUCAUCAGUAGGUUUACUGCUUAGUCCAAUUAAACAUGAAAAUGAGUACAUUUUCUUAUCUUAGAGAAAUAUGAGUGGAAAGUGAACUAAAGGGUCAGGAAACUAGGUUUUUGCCAAAAUGUAUAAGUAUUAUGCCAUUUAAUUUUUAAAAAUGAAACAGUUGUUGGGGCGCCUGGGUGGCUCAGUUGGUUGGACGACUGCC